AGUGAACGCUGGCGGUAGGCCUAACACAUGCAAGUCGAACGGCAGCACAGUAAGAGCUUGCUCUUACGGGUGGCGAGUGGCGGACGGGUGAGGAAUACAUCGGAAUCUACUUUUUCGUGGGGGAUAACGUAGGGAAACUUACGCUAAUACCGCAUACGACCUACGGGUGAAAGCAGGGGAUCUUCGGACCUUGCGCGAUUGAAUGAGCCGAUGUCGGAUUAGCUAGUUGGCGGGGUAAAGGCCCACCAAGGCGACGAUCCGUAGCUGGUCUGAGAGGAUGAGCAGCCACACUGGAACUGAGACACGGUCCAGACUCCUACGGGAGGCAGCAGUGGGGAAUAUUGGACAAUGGGCGCAAGCCUGAUCCAGCCAUACCGCGUGGGUGAAGAAGGCCUUCGGGUCGUAAAGCCCUUUUGUUGGGAAAGAAAAGCAGCAGGUUAAUACCCCGCUGUUCUGACGGUACCCAAAGAAUAAGCACCGGCUAACUUCGU
rnacentral:rRNA from 1 species